rnacentral:lncRNA from 1 species
GUUUUAGAACCAAUCCUAAUCAAAAUUUAAAUUUGCAAAAAUGGCCUUUACCUUCACACCAAUCAUCGCCGGAAUCAAAGUUCCUCCAACAUCCGGCAGCCGCAGAUCCGACCCGGACCGCCGCAGAAACUCCUCCGCCAGCUGGUGGACCCCGCUUUUCGGAUGGUCAUCGGAACCUGACUACGUUGAGUCGAACAGCAAAGGAUCGGAAUCCGAUCCACCUGUUACGGUCUCAAAGCCGGCAAGGCCACGCUUCGCUGGUGGUUUCACGGAGGAGAAGGCGAAGCAACUCCGGUUGAUGUCCACCGAGUCCUUCCACGACACGAUGUAUCACUCUGCCAUCGCUUCACGACUUGCCUCCGAUUUCAAGGCCCACUCCGAUCAGUAGUGUAUGUGACUUAGGGUUUGAUCGCAUUUUGUAGAUUUGUUUGUUUCUUGAUUUGGGGGUUUGAUGAUGUAUGAGUUGCAGUUAAGUGAUGUAAAAUAAUAGCUGAUGCAAUCAUAGUGUAUAUAAUAAGGAUUUAGAAAUAUAAAUAUAAUUUAUGUUUCUUUCAUUUUCUGUAAAGAGUGGGGGGGAGAGUAGUGUGAUUUAAUGCAGCGUUAUCUAUUUUUAAAAGCUUGGUGGAUCAGAUCUGACGCAUUUUUCUUUUACUUUUAUUUGUGUUCAUAUAAUAUUUUAAUAAACUGAAGUUGGUUCAAAUUGUAUAUCCUUAAUUCCCC